rnacentral:tRNA from 1 species
GGUGGCUCAGUAGUAGAGUUCUUGCCUUGCAUGCAUGAGGCCCUGGGUUCAAUUCCUCAGCACCA